rnacentral:lncRNA from 1 species
AUGAAACGGGGCGAUUCAGCCGAGCCCACGCGCGCAGUUCACGGCGAGUUCAGCUUAAUUCAGCCCAACGGCUUUAGCCUCCGCUUGAAGCGAACCGAGCCCAACCACGGCGGCCCGCUUGGCUUCGCGGCCCCGUCAACGCGAGGACUCGGCAGGGUCCUCGGGAUGCCGUGGGUGGGCUUCCCGGCGGGCAACCCGAUGGCCCCGCAAGGACGGCACCCAGCCCUUUAUGGCUGGGAUGGGCUUUUCCCGUGCAGCGAUGGAGGAGAAGACAUUCCUCUUCCCCGUAGCAUGCUCUGGGUGAGACACGGGGAAGCUGCCGUAGCGAUGCAUCACGUUCCCGCUCCAGAACGGGAGCUUCCGCCUAUUCAACCCAAGGAGGAUCCAGCCGGGCGCAGGGGGAGGCGCUGCCCUCCCCGGCGGUCUUGCUGCAAGGGGACUUUCACCCCGUCGCGGGCUGCAGGCGCGGUGGGAGACGGCAGCGCAUCCGGACGCGCGCCCGUCUCAGCCGAUGGGCUCUGCGAGCCGAGCGGGGCCCCUAUCAGCUUUGCAACGAGGAGGUCGGAGCUCUCUCCUCCCAUGGAAGCAGCUUUCCCUGACGGACAACCGAGCUCAUGGCGACUCUCCAACCGGAUGGCGACGUUUGGCACUGCCCUGCCCGUGUGUUACUAUUUACAUCCAUGCAAAGACAGCAAAAAUGCUACCAGACUGGAAAACUGUGCUUUAUAUCAGCAUAUAUCCACAGUAUCCGUCACCACAAAGACUCAGAUUAAUAUGUACGUCUGCACAUUUCCAUAUCUCCUCACCGUCACGGAGGCUUCCCUGCCAGGUGUUCAAAGCAAGCUUUUGCAAUGUAUAAUUCUUCCCCACCAAGCUGACGCUCGGCCCGUUCCCUUCAGCAGGGGUAAAACCCUGAAGGCUCUCAUGAACCGGGAUGCACGGAAAAGCGAUACUACAGAAGGAGAUCAGGUUGCGACACCGUCACUCAGACGUCUAAACUGCUUCGCUUGA